CAGAUGAUCACACGUGUGUUUAUCCGGUGGAUUAAUGAUGCCAUCAAAAGCUUUGAGUGACAAUACUACAGAAAUUAAUAUAAAGUCUAAUUAAAUCUUAAGUUGUAGUUUAUUUUAAUUAUUGUAAUUUAAACAGAGUUAUUACAGCACUUUUCUGAUUCUUGAUGUCCGUGCAUUUGCUGCAGAGCUUUUGUGGAGCAGGACCUGCAAGACAAGGUGACGGCGGCAUUUGUGAACAAAAAAAAAAAAAGGGAAAACCUGAAACAAAAAUAUAAAGUAAGAUCACUUUGUUACUUGUAAUACAAAAAUCAGAUAAUUAUCAGAUUGUGCUGAUAAAAUUACUGCUUUUGUAUUAUGAUUUUGUUUUUUUGUAGGAUGUGAAAUGUCCUCAGACUGCUGUGAGCACUGAGGAUGGAGAGACACAGCAGAUCCUGGAAAUGGUGUAGAGCCAUGGAUGAGACCCUCCAUCACUCCUCCUGCCCUUACUGCCUCAUCUGGACUGGAUGUUGCUGUGGUCUCUUCAUCCUCAGUGAGUCCAGAGCCAGCAAGAGCAUCUAGACAAAGACCAAAGGACAUUGAGGAUGUGAUUUUGGUCAGGUUGGUUCUGCUGGUUUCAGUUCAUACAAUGGAGCUUCAAAAGCAUCAUCAAAUAAUGUCAUGAAGCUUCUGGAAGUCAGGCUCCACUGACUGAUACUGUAUGAACUGAAACUAGCAGGGCAAACUUGACAAAUCACCUUUUGUGUUCAGAAAAAAAAAAAAAAAAUGAACACAGGGAUUGAACAGCGUGAAGGGAUGAUCCCGCUGGAGUAACUGGACUGGUGGAGACGCUGCAGAGAUCGAACCAGCAACCUUCUGCUGACCAGCUCAGUGGUUUAGACCACCACACCACACAAUCAUGCUGAUGGAGAGCACUCGAAUGUUUGGAGCAGACACAGCGGCAGCCAGAUUGUCCCACACAUCUUCUCCCACUCUUGAGGGGUUCAGGGGUCCAUCAUCAUCAUCAUGAUCUUCCUCAUCCUCUGGAUCAAUGCUGUCCCCAUUGAGAAGAGCAGCAGUGAGGGACAUGAUGGAUGAAGGUGUUCAUCAGAAUAAAGCUGCAGAAUGGGCACAGCUGUGUGAGAUGGCAGCAGGACUGCAAAUACGUGAUUGUUAGAUCAAUAAGUUUGAAUAAAGCUUUGUUUCGUGUGUUGUUGACUUGUAUAUGCAUUUAUUUAUUGUCAUUAUUACUUUUAUUAAUUCUUUUACUUUUUUUAUUAAUUAUGUUAUUAUUAGUAAAUUUAUA